CACAGUCUUCUAAGAUCGCUCAUGGAACCUCUUUAUCCUAGGAAUCUCCUGAUGAAUAAAAGAGGAAGAACAGAUCCCAAGGCUAUCCCCAUCUGUGAAAACACACGACACUGUAGAGAGCUUCAAAAGGAACGAUAGACAACAAUUUCUCUGACGAUUGACACGCAGAGACUGAAAGAAGUAGACAGAGAAAAGAGGAAGAGGGGCACCGCUGUACUGCUCCACUUCUGAAGCCCCCCCACCCCCGCCUGCAGGUGGGGACUCGGGGCUGGAACCUGGGUCCUGCCCAUGUGACAUGGGCUUCACUUCUUGGACAGACAUUUUCAGAUCGAUGGACACAGAGAUAAAUGGAGAGAAUGAAGACACCUUUUGCAUCAGUCCAGAAUACAUUCGGUAAGCCUGGCUCGAGUUUCGCUGAUGGUCACUAACUUCCUCAGAGUGACACAGCAUUUCCUGUAGGCCGUGCCUAAAUUCACCUCUGCCCUCCAGCUGAUGAUGCAAAGAGCAUAGGCCCCACUGAUGGUGACGCCACCUCACACCACCUCUAACAUCAUCUCACCCUACCUUUCCAUCCCUGCCUCUACCCCCUGCCUAUAAAAAAAUGGCCUUUUCCUCAAUAAAGCGAGUCACUGCCUUGACAG